UACAGAGGGGGCAAGCGUUAUUCGGAAUUAUUGGGCGUAAAGGGCGCGUAGGCGGCAUGGCAAGUGGAAGGUGAAAUCCCUCGGCUCAACUGAGGAACUGCCUACCAAACUGCUUUGCUUGAGUCCGGGAGAGGUAAGUGGAAUUCCCAGUGUAGCGGUGAAAUGCGUAGAUAUUGGGAGGAACACCAGUGGCGAAGGCGGCUUACUGGACCGGAACUGACGCUGAGGCGCGAAAGCGUGGGGAGCAAACGGGG
rnacentral:rRNA from 1 species